rnacentral:rRNA from 1 species
UACAUGGGGUGCAAACGUUGCUCGGAAUUAUUGGGCGUAAAGCGCACGUAGGCGGUUUGUUAAGUCGGAUGUGAAAUCCCUCGGCUCAACCGAGGACGUGCAUUCGAAACUGUCAGACUCGAGUAUGGAAGAGGGUCGCGGAAUUCCCGGUGUAGAGGUGAAAUUCGUAGAUAUCGGGAGGAACACCAGUGGCGAAGGCGGCGACCUGGGCCAAUACUGACGCUGAGGUGCGAAAGCUAGGGGAGCAAACGGG